AUUGAACGCUGGCGGCAGGCCUAACACAUGCAAGUCGAGCGAGCGGCGGACGGGUGUGUAAUGUCUGGGAAACUGCCUGAUGGAGGGGGAUAACUCUUGGAAACGGUAGCUAAUACCGCAUACCAUCAGAUGUGCCCAGCUGGGAGUAGCUCGUGGGUGGGGUAACGGCUCACCUAGGCGACGAUCCCUAGCUGGUCUGAGAGGAUGACCAGCCACACUGGAACUGAGACACGGUCCAGACUCCUACGGGAGGCAGCAGUGGGGAAUAUUGCACAAUGGGCGCAAGCCUGAUGCAGCCAUGCCGCGUGUGUGAAGAAGGCCUUCGGGUUGUAAAGCACUUUCAGCGGGGAGGCGUUACCCGCAGAAGAAGCACCGGCUAACUCCGUGCCAGCAGCCGCGGUAAUAC
rnacentral:rRNA from 1 species